CCGAGGAGCUUCUUGGUUGUCGGUUGGUCGUUGAUUUCGACUUAUUGCAUAAUCUCCUUCUAUUCUCCUUUCGCUUGGAAUGUCCAAAAUGGUAAUGGAUUAAUUUAGAAUUUAAUCCCACCACUUUGUAGUUAGCUGUCGACUUCUGAUACUGAUAAUGAUUGUGUGUUUCGUGGUGGCUUCCACCCAAGCGGACCAUCGCACAGUUCGACGGGCGUGUGCUAGGUGGUGUGGAAGAGUUUGCUGCGACCCGCUUUGUGAUCGUUGGUGUGGUAUCCCUCCUAAUCUCCAUUGCUGCGACGCCACCAUAGGGAAGUGACCCGUUGACAGCUAAAUUCCCGCAGCAGACUGAACACUUUUGGCCUCCUCCACACGUGAUAUCAACGGCGUUUCUUCUGGCUGUCAAACUGGACCUGAAUUAUACGCGUCUACCAUAAAGGAAGGACACGUGGACAACAAAUCUGUUAAUAUGGCUAGACGUCAUCAUCAAAAGAUCAAAUGUAUUGAUAUUA